CACCACCAUCCAUCACUCAAUCACUAUCCCAACACCAACACAACUAUCACCACAACCAUCCAUCACUCCAUUACUAUUCCAAUAUUAACAUCACUACCACCGCAACUAUCCAUCACUCCAUCACUAUUCCAACACCAACAUUGCUAUCAUCACAACCAUCCAUCAUUCCAUCACUAUCCCAACACCAAUAUCACUAUCACCACAACCAUCCAUCACUCCAUCACUAUCCCAACACCAAUAUCACUAUUACCACCACCAUCCGUCACUUCAUCACUAUCCCAAUACCACCAUCACUAUCACCACAACUAUCCAUUACUUCUUCACUAUCCCAGCACCAACACCACUGUCACCACCACCGUCCAUCGCUCCAUCACUAUACCAACACCAACACCACUGUCACCACAACAUCCAUCACUCCAUCACUAUCCCAACACCAAUACCACUGUCACCACAACAUCCAUCACUCCAUCACUAUCCCAACACCAACAUCACUGUCACCACAACAUCCAUCACUCCAUCACUAUCCCAACACCAACACCACUGUCACCACAACAUCCAUCACUCCAUCACUAUCCCAACACCAACACUACUGUCACCACAACAUCCAUCGCUCCAUCACUAUCCCAACACCACCGUCACUAUCACCACCACCAUCCAUCACUCCAUCACAAUCCCAACACCAACACCACUGUCACCACAACCAUCCAUCACUCCAUCACAAUCCCAGCACCAACACCACUGUCACCACCACCAUCCAUCACUCCAUCACUAUCCCAACACCAAUACCACUGUCACCACAACAUCCAUCACUCCAUCACUAUCCCAACACCA
rnacentral:lncRNA from 1 species